rnacentral:rRNA from 1 species
GGGUGGUAGACUUUCACCUAAGCUAAAUAUCAGCGAGAGACCGAUAGCGAACAAGUACUGUGAAAGGAAAGAUGAAAAGACUUUGAAAAGAGAGUUAAAUAGUACGUGAAAUUGUUGAAAGGGAAACGAUUGAAGUCAGCAUGCUAGUGAAAAAUCAGUUUGACGGGUUUUGAGUUCGGGAGUAGAGGCAGGGUCAAACGUUUCUCUUUUGAACUUGGGAUUUGUUAGAUGUACUUUUUCUUUGGCAGGUCAGCGUCGUUUCGGGGGUUGUAAAAUACUUGGGGGAAAGUAGCUCUGCUUCGGGAGAGUAUUAUAGCCCUGGGGGAUGCAGCCUGUGGGAUCGAGGAUUGCAACGAAUACCCUUUUGGGCUAUCCUCUGUCCUCUGAAAGUCGCUCGGGGGUCGAAAGCGUGCUUAUGAUCAUUCGAGUUGGCGUCAACAGGAUAGAACGUGAUUAUAUUCGUUAAGGAUGUUGACGUAAUGGCUUUAAACGA